GACGAACGCUGGCGGCGUGCCUAACACAUGCAAGUCAAGGAGAACGGGGUAGCAAUAUCCCUAGUAAACUGGCGCACGGGUGAGUAACACGCAGGCAACCUGCCUAUAGGACGGGGAUAACUCAGCGAAAGCUGGACUAAUACCCGAUAAUGCAGCGGCACCGCAUGGUGAUGUUGUUAACGCCCGCAAGGGCGCCUAUAGAUGGGCCUGCGUCCCAUUAGGUAGUUGGUGAGGUAACGGCCCACCAAGCCUACGAUGGGUAGCUGGUCUGAGAGGAUGAUCAGCCACACUGGAACUGAGACACGGUCCAGACUCCUACGGGAGGCAGCAGUGAGGAAUAUUGCGCAAUGGCCGAAAGGCUGACGCAGCGACGCCGCGUGAGGGAUGAAGUCCGUUAGGAUGUAAACCGUCUUUUGCAGGGGAUGAAUGUUCCCGUUCACCGGGAAUUGACCGUACCCUGCGAAUAAGGAUCGGCUAACUACGUGCCAGCA
rnacentral:rRNA from 1 species